CCAACUGUGUGAAUUAAUGUGAACUGCAUACUGCUUUGAACAUCGACGUCUUGAACGCACAUUGCGGCCACGGGUUUUCCUGUGGCCACGCCUGCCCGAGGGUCGGCU
rnacentral:rRNA from 1 species